AUUGAACGCUGGCGGCAUGCUUUACACAUGCAAGUCGAACGGCAGCACGGGUGCUUGCACCUGGUGGCGAGUGGCGGACGGGUGAGUAAUACAUCGGAACGUGUCCAGAAGAGGGGGAUAACGCAUCGAAAGAUGUGCUAAUACCGCAUAUGCUCUGAGGAGGAAAGUAGGGGAUCGAAAGACCUUACGCUUUUGGAGCGGCCGAUGUCUGAUUAGCUAGUUGGUGGGGUAAGGGCCUACCAAGGCGACGAUCAGUAGUUGGUCUGAGAGGACGACCAGCCACACUGGGACUGAGACACGGCCCAGACUCCUACGGGAGGCAGCAGUGGGGAAUUUUGGACAAUGGGCGCAAGCCUGAUCCAGCAAUGCCGCGUGAGUGAAGAAGGCCUUCGGGUCGUAAGCUCUUCAGUCGAGAAGAAAGGACUGCAGUGAAUAACUGUAG
rnacentral:rRNA from 1 species